ensembl:lncRNA
CGGAACAAGUUGAAUAGUUAUGUCUAUAAGCAUGUUGGAAGUCUGUGUUCAAGCAGUUACAGUCAAAGUAUUCCUGUUUUUGUAAGUGGAUUAUUCUCUCCAUCAGUUAACUAAGUACUGGGAGAAUAGUGAUAUGUCUACUGUUCUUCCCAGUGAGUUCUUGCCUGCCAUCUUUAGAUUACAGAUACCUGACUCCUCCGAGGCAUGGCUGACUAACCAAGGAGGUUUCCAUGGAUUGUGGUUCUAACUAGACCCUGUUCCUGCCUCCUAUCGUGGCCCUGCUGACACCUGCUGAGGCUUCUGUGGAUGAUGGUUCUAUCUGAAGGCGGUGGUCCCUGUAGUGGUGCCUGCCGAACACCUGGUUCCUGUGCAGAGUUUUUCCUGUGCCGAUAAACUUCAGGAAAGCACCAUCAAGCUAGCUGGGCGCUACAUCCUUCGGGCAGACAGAUCAACCGACUACUCCUGAGGUGGCAGUCUAUACAUCCCCGGACUCUAAUGGUAAACUUUCCAUGAAAGAACGGCAUGCUGCCAUUAGCAAACAACCGACUCUACAUCCGGAGGCAACUUUUAUUCUUGCGGGUGACUUCAACCGCUCAAACCUGAAGACUAUACUCCCUAAAUUAUACCAGCAGGUCUUCUGCCCCACGAGAGGAGAC